GCCGCGAUAAUUUGAUCGUGCAAAGGUAGCAUAAUAAUUAGUUUCUUAAUUGGGAACUGGAAUGAAAGGUCGCACGAGAAAAAGACUGUCUCAAUUUAAAUUUAAUUAGAAUUUUAUUUUUAAGUAAAAAAGCUUAAAUAAUUUUAAAAGACGAGAAGACCCUAUAGAGUUUUAUAUUUAUUUAUUUAUUUUUUAGUUUAAGAAUUUAAUUUUAAAAUUUAUAAAUAAGUAUUUAGUUGGGGUGACUAAAAAAUUGAAUUAACUUUUUUUAUUAAUUUUAACAUUAAUUAAUGAUUAAAUGAUCCAUAAAUUAUGAUUAAAAGAUUAAAUUACCUUAGGGAUAA
rnacentral:rRNA from 1 species